AUUGAACGCUGGCGGCAGGCCUAACACAUGCAAGUCGAGCGGAUGAAGGGAGCUUGCUCCUGGUUUCAGCGUCGGACGGGUGAGUAAUGCCUAGGAAUCUGCCUGGUAGUGGUUGAUAACGUCUUGAAACGGGCGCUAAUACCGCAUACUUCCUGAGGGAGAAAGUGGGGGAUCUUCGGACCUCACGCUAUCAGAUGAGCCUAGGUCGGAUUAGCUAGUUGGUGGGGUAAAGGCCUACCAAGGCGACGAUCCGUAACUGGUCUGAGAGGAUGAUCAGUCACACUGGAACUGAGACACGGUACAGGAUCCUACGGGCGGCAGCAGUGGCGAAGAUUGGAAAAAGGGCGAAAGACUGAUCCAGCGAUGCAGGGUGGAUGAAGAAGGUCUGCGGAUUGUAAAGCACUCUAAGGUGGGAAGAAGGGCAGUACGUUAAUACCUUGCUGAUUUGACGUUACCAAUAGAAUAAGAACCGGCUAACUUCGU
rnacentral:rRNA from 1 species